rnacentral:lncRNA from 1 species
ACUAGUCUGAAGAUUUUUGCCGGACCAUGCUGCAUCCAGAGUAUCAGACAAAUUUUCUGCAACAGGAAACUCACCCUCUGAAUGAACCCUCCGUAUAAGAAUGCCCAGAUGAAGGGGGUCAGUUUGCUCUCUCAUAUAAGAACUGCCAUUUUCCUUCGAGGGACAUUGACUAACCUCCACGUCAAUAUUAUUGUUUUUAACACCAAUUUCAUGGUUUAUAAUUUUCUCUGGCAUCUUUGCUUGAA